rnacentral:rRNA from 1 species
AACGAACGCUGGCGGCAUGCCUAACACAUGCAAGUCGAACGAGACCUUCGGGUCUAGUGGCCCACGGGUGCGUAACGCGUGGGAACCUGCCUUUAGGGUCGGACUAACUCAGAGAAAUUUGAGCUAAUACCGGAUGAUGUCUUCGGACCAAAGAUUUAUCGCCUUUGGAUGGGCCCGCGUUGGAUUAGCUAGUUGGUGGGGUAAAGGCCUACCAAGGCGACGAUCCAUAGCUGGUCUGAGAGGAUGAUCAGCCACACUGGGACUGAGACACGGCCCAGACUCCUACGGGAGGCAGCAGUGGGGAAUAUUGGACAAUGGGCGAAAGCCUGAUCCAGCAAUGCCGCGUGAGUGAUGAAGGCCUUAGGGUUGUAAAGCUCUUUUAACCGAGAUGAUAAUGACAGUAUCGGGAGAAUAAGCUCCGGCUAACUCCGUG